AGGAGCGUAGCUCAAUUUGGCAGAGCAACGGUUUCCAAAACCGUAGGCUGGGGGUUCGAGUCCCUCCGCUCCUG
rnacentral:tRNA from 1 species